UACGUAGGGGCAAGCGUUGUCCGGAUUAUUUGGCGUAAAGAGCGUGUAGGCGGCUUUACAGGUCCGUUGUGAAAACUCGAGGCUCAACCUCGAGACGCCGGUGGAAACCGUAAAGCUAGAGUCCGGAAGAGGAGAGUGGAAUUCCUGGUGGUAGCGGUGAAAUGCGUAGAUAUCAGGAGGAACACCGGCGGUGUAGACGGCCUACUGGACCAUGACUGACGCUGAGGCACGAAAGCGUGGGGAGCAAACAGGG
rnacentral:rRNA from 1 species